AUCCCAUGAUGAGGACACGAGAGGAGGUAUUCCUGCAGUCUCUCCCAAGCUUCUGAGGUUGACUCCAUCCCUGUCUGCUGGAAACUUGAAAUCUUCCCGCGCAGGGC